UUGUAAAGGAUGAUCCGCCUAUUAAUUUACUUUUAUUAUGUUGGUGUAUAUCUGGUUUAAUAUUAUUGUUUAAUAACUGAAUUUGUGUAUAUUUAUUUAAGCCAAGUCUAUGUGCUGCUUGUAAAAGAUUUCAUGCGUUACAUUUAUAUUUAUAAAUUAUGAGAAUUUAAUUUUUAAUUAGGACUUAAAAGUAAUAUAGAAUGAUUUUGUCUAUGUGAAAAAGGUUUAGCUCAG
rnacentral:rRNA from 1 species